rnacentral:rRNA from 1 species
CCCUUAGAUGUUCUGGGCCGCACGCGUGCUACACUGAGUGGAUCAGCGGGUCAGGUUGCGCGAAAGCGUUUCCUAAUCUUUAAAUCCGCUCGUGAUGGGGAUUGACGGUUGCAAUUUUCUGUCAUGAACGAGGAAUACCUUGUAAGCGCGGGUCAUCAUCCCGCGCUGAAUACGUCCCUGCCCUUUGUACACACCGCCCGUCGCUCCUACCGAUUGAGUGGUCCGGUGAGGCUUUGGGAUCUGAGCGGAAAGAGCGUUUCGCUGUUUCUGCUCGGAAAACUCAGUGGAACCUUAUCAUUUAGAGGAAGGAGAAGUCGUAACA